rnacentral:lncRNA from 1 species
CCUGCUUAGCUAGAUCCGAAAGAAAUGCUAGCCCUUGACUACAAUACACCAUCCGUCACUAUGCAUUACUGAUCACCCACUAGAGGUCUGGAAGGUGACGAGAUCCUAAAUUCAUGUGAUCAUAAUCGGAGUAGAGAGCAGUGGACUAACAUACAAUAUAUUUUGAUAAAAAGAAAUAUAAUUUAUUUUCUACUAAAACAUGCAUAUUUGAUCAAAUGUUUCAUUAAGUAUUUCUAUAUAGUGGAUAUAAGAUAAUUGAUUUAAACAUAACAGCAAGCACAACC